UUAACUAUUAUAUAGUACUCAGACGACACUAACAUUCAGAGUUUGGGGUCCUCUGGCAGGCACGAUCCAGCGUAUGCCGGUGCCCGAAGGCGGCCUGCCAAAGCAACAAAGAUAUAAUAUACACGGGUGGGGUUUCUACCCAUAAGGGCAGGAACUCUGUAAUGAUCCUUCCGCAGGUUCACCUACGGAAA
rnacentral:misc_RNA from 1 species